UUUCACAUGCUGGUGCUUGGAAACGUGGGAGAGUUAAUGAGCGAAAUGUUUUGAGAUGAGUCUUUGAAUAGUUUGCUAUCAGCGUCUCUCCUAUUCACUGGAUGGGAUCAUUAUAGCGGAUCUUUUUUCAGGUUUGGAUAACUAUGCUACAAUAUACAUGAUACAUUUUUAGUUCUUUCUUUCAUUUUUUUUGCUGCCGAUCGUCCAUUUCGGUUCAAGUUUGGAGGGUGCAGAAAUCAAGUAUUGCUGCUGCAUCGACUGGAAUGGAAAGGACCCAUAUUCCCCGAACGGUUUGAAGGAUGAAACUACGUGCUGUGAUUUCAGAGUAAGACCUGAACUCAUUUUGGGUCGUUUUUUUUUUUGGACCUUCGUGUUUUCUUUGGCUAUGCUAUAACCUGAAAUGGGACAAAACUAUAUAGUCGAAUAGCUAUAGGCCUGCAUUUUGUUUGCUCUACCAGGGCACGGACACCGAGUGUAAAAACGACUACCGGGACUAUCCAAAAUUAUACCAACCCGAUUAAUUUAAAACUCAUAUUUUUCAUAAAGAAAUGCUGUAAUUUUUUCACCAUAAAGAAUCAUGGCUACGAUGUAUAAGAGGUUCACAGGCAAGAUUAACACGAAUAGGUCUUUUCCAAAUCCACCUGAGGCAACGCAUCUGCUCGGUGGUCAAACAGUUGAAGACGAGAAUUCUGUGAAGACCCCUCGCCCAGGUCAAGAGUUACCGCCCGGUUUCCAAAACAAACUACCGAGGAGCCCAUGCGAUGACGAAGAUGAGCUGGUGGGGAGUAACCCUCCGCAGAGGAACUGGAAGGGAAUUGCGAUCGCCCUGCUUGUCAUUCUGGUCAUCUGCUCCAUGAUCGUCACCUCUGUCAUUCUGCUGACACCAGGCGAGGAUGACAGCUUGGCCCUGAGGGAAAAACUGACUGUGGCUGACAUCUUUAGGAAGGAGUUCAAGGUUCACAACCCUGAGGCAAAGUGGAUCAGCAGUAACGAGCUCCUGUAUCGGACACGUGACGGCGACGUGGUCAGGGUCAACAUGGAGACAUACCACAGGACGGUGUUGGUGCACAACAAAAAGUUUGAAAUGUACAAAGCCAGCCAGUAUGAGGUGUCCCCCGACAUGAAGCAUGUGCUUCUAGCCUACAACGUGGCGCCGGUGUACCAGUACUCGUUCACUGCCUUCUACAUCAUCUGCAGCCUGGAGACUCCAGAAACGUGGAACUUGAACCCUCCGGAGGUGCGGAACGCCCAGCUGCAGUACGCAGGCUGGGGACCCAAGGGCCAACAGCUGAUUUUUAUUUUUGAGAACAAUAUCUACUAUCGCUCAACCGUGGAGAGUCGAUCGAUCCGCUUGGUUUCCACCGGAAAGGAGGGAGUCAUCUUCAACGGGCUGAGCGAUUGGUUAUACGAAGAGGAGAUCUUCCAGAACCACAUUGCGCACUGGUGGUCUCCGGAUGGGGCCCGGCUGGCAUAUGCCACCAUCAACGACACCAUGGUGCCCAAGAUGGAGAUCCCCUUGUUCACAGGGACUAGUUAUCCUACUGGAAGGGAGUACCACUACCCCAAGGCUGGGGAGGAGAACCCUGUCAUCUCCCUGUAUGUAGUCAACCUGAACGGGCCCCUGCACACCAUUGAGAUGCGGAGACCUGAGGACCAGAGGAUAGGAGAGUUCUAUGUCACCAUGGUGAAAUGGGCGACUACCACCAAACUGGCAGUGAACUGGUUAAACAGAGCCCAGAACAUCUCCAUGCUCACGCUGUGUGAAGCCACCACCGGGGUCUGCUCCAAAAAACACGAGGACGAGAGUGAGGGUUGGCUGCACAGACAGAACGAAGAGCCGCUGUUCUCAAAAGACGGUCUGAAGUUGUUCUUCACCCGGGCCAUACCACAGGGAGGCAGGGGCAAGUUCUUCCAUAUCUCCAUGUCCAUCACUCAGGCAAACACCAGUACAGACACACUGCAGUCGAUCACGUCUGGGGACUGGGAUGUCACCCAGGUCUUAGCCUACAACGAGGACAGCCAGCUAAUAUAUUUCUUGAGCACUGAGGAUGAUCCGAAGCGAAGGCACCUCUACAGCGCGGACACGGUCGGGCCCUUCAACAGACGCUGUCUCUCCUGUGACUUCUACGAAGGCUGCGGUUACGUCGGCGGCUCCUUCAGCCACAACAUGAGUCUCUUUCUCCUCAGCUGUAAAGGGCCAGGAGUUCCGUUUGAAGCAGUGUACAACACACAGGACCGACUGAAGGUUUUCGACCUGGAGACCAACGAGGACCUGAGGACGAGGCUGGACUCCAUACAGAUGCCCAGAGAGGAAUACAAGGAGAUCACCAUUGAGGAUUACACAUUAACGAUGCAGAUCCUCAAACCUGCCAGCUUUGUCGACUCAUCACACUAUCCCCUGCUCCUCCUCGUUGACAGCACCCCCGGUGGUCAGUCGGUGUCCGAGCAGUUCCACAUAGAUUGGGCCACAGUGCUGGUGAGCAGUUUCGGGGCCAUAGUGGUGCGUUUCGACGGGCGGGGAAGUGGCUUCCAGGGGACGAACCUCCUGCAUCGUGUGCAGAGGAAGUUGGGCGUGUUCGAGGAGCGAGACCAACUGGCAGCCCUCAGUAUUCUAUCAAAAGAGCCUUACAUUGACAAGACCAGAAUUGGAGCUUAUGGCAAGGUGUACGGAGGCUACGUGACCAGUUUGCUACUCAGCGCUGAGGAUUCCCUGGUGAAAUGUGGUGCAGUCCUCUCACCCAUCACAGAGUUCGAUCUCUACGCUUCAGCGUUUUCAGAGAGAUACCUGGGAAUGCCCAAGCCUGACCCAAGAGCAUAUGCGAUGGCAAAUCUAGCACACAGGGCGUCUCAAUUCCUAGAUAAGAAGUUUCUGAUUGUUCAUCCGACAGCAGAUGAAAAAGUUCAUUUCCAGCACACAGCAAAGUUCAUCGCCCAGCUGAUCAAUGAAAAGGCAAACUACACUCUCCAGAUCUACCCAGACGAGGGCCAUUUCAUCCAUAGUGAGGCCACGCGGCAGCACCUCAGUCAAUCGUUGGUCAACUUCUUUGAGGAGUGCUUCCGGCUACCGGACAAGGUGUUCGAGGAGAGGCUGGAGGAGGAGAUCGAGGAGGAGGGUUAGCAAACUCUGUCAGCCCUUAACCAGAGGUCCAGUCCACACUGAAGCACAAUGCCAGCCCCCAUACCCGGUUUCCACAGUCCACAUGAUAUGCAGCCUACUUCUGGUUCAAACCCUCUUUGGCCCUUUUUCUUGUUUUCACCGUGCGGAAUUCCCGGCGUUUCAGCAUGAUCCACCUCGAGCCUACCGUGUUAACCUUCGUCCUCCUCUUCCUCCGCAACUUUCACUGCAAGGGUAUCGGCAGCCAUUUUGCUGAUAUCGGUACAAUGAACACAACAUUACCGUGAAGGGCAAUGGAGGGGACCACUAGCUGACAACAUAUCUGGAGAGCGUUGAAAAAAGCGGUUGGCUCAGGAAUAGGUCAUCUCUGGUCAGUUUACGUUUAAAAAGACAAGCUCCUCGGAUUCCCAAACGUCUGGUCGGUGGGAGGGAACGUAAAAAGUUUACUAGUCAGUGAGGAGAGGGAGACUUUAUAGCACAAACUUUGGGGUCCGAUGUAGGCUCCUUACUGGAUCUGACGGGUCAGACUUGAUCCUGCACAGUGUCCGGGGGUGGGGGUGGGGGGGUCUCUGUGGAGAAGAGAAUGUACCUAUUUUUUAAAUUGUGAAAAGACCUUUUCAUGUCAGACUGUGCUUGUGUUUGUUGUUCCCGCUGUAAAGUAAAAAAACAAACAAAACAAAAAAAUUGUCACUCCAGGGGGGCUCAGACACUUUGUUUUUUAGUGUUGAAGUUUGUCCUGAUCUUUGGAACCUAUUGUAGCCUCAAGUAUGUAUUUAAAUGGCGUAGACUCCAUUUUUCAUUGUCAUGAAAAGAUGGGCCUGAUGAAUGAUGUGAACAGAAUAGUUAUGUUCUUGGUUCACUUUCAGUCUCGGUUUUGUUGCUUAUUGUUCUUCCUGUCUUUUGCUUACUGUAUGAUACUCCCUCAGUCCUUUGAAAACUGAAGCAUAUGUAUAUUUCUGUCACUGUGCCUUACUUUUGGGAGAAAGAGUCCUUUUUAUGAACUCCUGUUAUGAAAACAAAACGGCUCAUUGUGAAGACAUUUUCUGUUGACAACGGCUUGGUAUACUGACAGUUCAACCGUCACUCAGAGCACUGUAAUGUUUUCAAAGAGCGAGUAGUACAGCAUUCUAUCAACAGUCAAGUAAGAAAUGGUCUUCUCCAGGUCAAGACAUAACCAAUUGCCAAAACGGUUGUAAACAGUAGCCAAAUGUGUCAUUAUUGCAUUAUUUUACAGAUGUUCAUAAAUAGCAAUUCAAUGGUGUCAGGUCACAAAUUUCAUUUUUAUGUAAGGUUGGAAUGCUAAGCAAAAGGCAUUCAGCCUCCCGAUUCGUGCAGGGCUAAUAAACCCUGGGUUCAUUCCUAGAGUCCCACCCUGUCGUAAAGGUCACUCUAAUGGGCCCGUGCACGACUGGUCUUGCAUUGUGCUCAAAAUGCACUUGUUUGAAAUGAGGGUCCUUCUCAACUCGCGGCGCCAUCAAGCAUAUGACGUUUACAGGGGUGGAUCUAAAAAUAAAUGUGAAAAGUAAUAAAAAAACAAUAAAGGCAGUUGUGCAAGUCAUUUUAUAGAUAGAAACAAUAUGCUAUUUAUUGUUUUAAAUGUGUGCAUGCUUUUUUCAGAAAAACCAAAGGGUGUGUGGCAGAUUUCAAAACUCUUCCACCGCAGGACACACAAGUAUCCUUUGUGAAAGUCAAGGAGGGGAGAGCAACUUGCCUACUAAUUAAUUUACAUCACCACUUAUCGGUCUCCAUGUCAUGUGGGAGAUCCCUUGUUUCAUCAUGCUGUAGUGCUAAUUGUGGCGGUCAGGGUUCUGUUAGCUGAGUGAGGCUACGUCUACAGCACUUUUCACCGUGUUGGUUAGGCAGACUUCCUGGUUAAGUGAGCAGUGAGAUCAGCAAUACAGCUUAGUGGGCAUGUAAUGGCGAGAAGAUGACCUGAUCUACAAAAUUGGAUAAGGUGAAAUUGGGUAAACAAAUUUUACAAAAACAUGGGUUCUUAAGUUUAGGCACAAGUUUGUAUUUUUUCUGAAUGCUCAUUCCUGUUAGUUUGUCAGUGCAUGUAACCAAGUUAUUAGCAACUCAAUACUAUCUUUGAUGGGUCAGUUUCAAAAUAGUAUUUUUGACAUUUUGAAUGUUCCGUACUGGAUUGCAUUACAUUUACAGUAGUAUCGUGAUUGAGAUCCCAGUCUCGUCAGCUUGAUGUAUAAAUGUUACUCAAAUAUCAUUUUAGUCUCUUAAAAUCUGAGUGUUAUUUGUGCAUAAAUGCAUUUUGAAUAUACAUUUUUGGUCUCCAGUUUUGGUCCUUGGGUUGAGUUUAAAGUGGACUGCAAUCAUCAGCAGCAAUGGUGAACUUUCUGAAAAGGUGCGAUUGAAAAUGAAGAUGGACUUUUGUCAAGAAGCUCUCAACUCAACGGUACAGGAAACUACUGUGGCAAAUAACCAGAAUGUGGCAUGGGGGUAAUUGUUAGAAUAAAAACUAUUUUAUCAUCAUA